rnacentral:lncRNA from 1 species
GGAAAAGCACCAUCAAAGCGGCUCCUUCCUACGUCUGAGCGCCGAUCCGGUCACAGUUAAUCGGCGAACGUCACGACGGCUCUCUGAACAAAACGCCCUUCAGGUGAGUUUCCAGCUCCGACGCCCCACGUUCGCUUUUUAUGAAGCUUCUCGAGGAAACCCAAUCCAAGCUCUGCCCUCCUUCGGCUCCCGGCCGCAAACGGCCCCGCGGGCGGACAGACGGACGGCGUUAGGCCGCCUUCGCACCGGGGAAUCGCCAGAACCGGAGCGAUGACCGCCUGCAGUGACAUCGAUGGGGGGCGGAUUUGGUGCCCCGAGACGUGUGCGAGUAAGAGCUCAGCCCCGCGCUGAUGGAAACGCGCUCACAGCCCGGUACGGUUUCACCGGUUUACAAACGCCGUCCAUUAAAACACGAUUAUUACCAAACGGCUUCUUUCUAUGCGAGAUCCUCAAAUCCGUUGUUUACAUUGCACCUAUAUUAACAAACCACAAAAUAAGCCCGUAGCGUUUUUAAGAGAGGUUUUAGGCUGGGAACGUGGAAACUUGCCUGGACGAAACGACACGGAAGCUGAAUGAAGGCGAGGAGAUUAUCUGUGUCUGAAGGUUGGGCAUUAGCCGCAAUGAAAAGAUUGAUUUUUCCGAUGCUUUUUUUCCCCCCAGACGGUUAUUUCCAAGGCUGCUGGCAGUGUAAGCUCACUCUCUGAGCAGAUACUGAAGCCCGUGUGUUGUAUGUAAGGGUGCUAUUCAAGGAGGAGGCGCUCAGUGCCGCAGAGUGCCUGCUGGCUUCGGGUGCACGUGUUCUUACAGCAUCACUCGCACUCGAAAAAUACUUGUUAUUCAUGCUCAGAAGUUACUCGAGCAUGACUUGCAGUGGAAAAUUGUGCAAAAAUAAUGUUUCUUUGCGAUAACUGAUCCCAGUCUGGUGUUUCAUAGCUGAUAGCCUGGAAACUUGCCUGUGCAGAGUCCCUCCCCGUCAGAGAUGUUCCACGAGGCUGAAGGAAACAGAGCGGUGAGGAGAAGAGGCAGAUGUGCAGGGGUUGUUCACAUGCUGAAAGCUUUGAGUCACAGCAGCUCUGACGCUUUUCUGAAGAAAUAGUUCUGCAAUCAUUACAGUUGCCACCCAAACCCUACCCUGGGUGUUCUAUGGCUUACAGCAACCUCCAAACUCGCACUGCGUGUAGUGUGAAUGCUGUGUCAGGUAAGCGUGUGUAAGUCAUCCUACAGCAGCCGGUCUGGCAAAACACGUCUGAUUUGGCGGUCAAGGAGGUGAGUCCCAAAACCCAGCAAGGUCUGUAAAAGAGGAGCUGGCUGUUCCGUUUGGGCUAACGGGCAUUUUCCUUACCUACAGCCCAGCUGACUGCCAGCUCCCGGCUCAUCCCCCGAUUAGGCGCUGAUGGGCGUUUUCUGAGCUAUUUACUAAGAGCUGAACAUAAACCACAAGUGCUUUUGAAUGCUGACCUCUCAUUUAUGUUACUUUCCGAACUGAAUAGCAUCUUAUGCGCAUUAAAAUAGUUUUUAAUAGAUGCUUGAACGAUAAUCAUGUAUGCAUCUUGUUCUCUUCUCCUUUUUGUCAACGCGAAAGCCGGGCUGUUGGAUGCUCCCAUUUGUUGGCCAGGAGUUCUCCUCAGGGCUGCUGGGCCCCAGCAGAGUGCUGGGCUGUGCAUCGGACCCCAGAGAGGUUCAGGAGCUCCUGCUGUUGUUCAACCUCCUCUGGCUUUGGCCGUCCGAGGUGUGUUACUGCCACAGCUGAGGUGGAAGUGCCACUGCGAGGACUUUCGUUGUCCUUGUUUUGUGAUGUUCUUAACUCCGUGACGUGGUGUGAAAGUUCCCCAUUCAUGGGUGUGAAAAUGCAUUCAGACUUGAUGCUAUCAGUCCCAGAAGUUAGAAGUACUGCUCGUUUCUCAUUGGAUAAGCAUAUAGACCACACAUUUCAUACCUGAAUGUCCUCUGCUAAGUUCAGGGGUUACUUGAAAUUAACGCUCAUUAUUCACUAGUAUUUGCACUAGUAAAGUACAAGUGCUCAAAUAUUUGCAGAAAGCAAAAGUGAAGCAGCUGUAAACAUGGCUGAAUUUGCUUCUGAAUUUUAAUGCAUAUUUGCAGAAUUUUGGUUUAGCUGUAAUGUGUGCGUGUCUAUGGUACAGAAAGCUUGUAAAUUCUGGUGCUUUACACUUCCCAGUGUGUAAACUGCAGCUAAGCCCGCUGGAUUUAACUUUUAUAUCCUUAGUUUAAAUGGAAAAAUACAGGCGAGUUUGAAAAAAACAAAAACAAAACCCUUAAAAAAUACACAGAGCAUCAGAAACUUUACAUAACCACAUCGAUUAGUGGUCUGUAACCUUCGCUGGUGAGUGGGUACUGAUGGAAUAGUGUGUGGUUAACUCUUUCAUCCCCAGCAGGAGCAACGUGAAGAUUGAAUCCCAGGAUCCACAGUUCAGGAUGAGGUCUGUAAGUCACUAUUUCUCCCUUUGGUUCCAGAGAAGUGAUUCUCUGAAUGGAAGUUAAGGAAUUUGUGACGGUCUUCAGGAAGGUUUGCCUUAGCCAGAUGUUGUAUUUGCAGUGUGAAAACAGGCUGUGUGGGAGAGCCAUGACUUGGAGUGGGGAAGGAGGAAUGUAUCAGGCUUAACACACAGCAUAUGCUCUCCUUGCAGAAUGGAUUGGGUGACUCUGGGUCUGUAUUGACUGCUUAAUCGUAGUGUUUCUAGUCUGGGGGUGGGUACACUGUUAGGUCAUGGUAACAGUGAUGAAUUUGAAGAGGAAGAGUGGCCAUUUAUUCAUCCUACUUUUCUCCCUCUCUCAAAGGAAGAGGAAGCAAUCAGGAUAGAUAGAGAGUUGUGCUUGGAAGCAGUGGAAGAAAGCUGGUAGUAUUCUAGAGAGAUGUGAGGAGCAGAACUCAGGAAAGAGUGUUGGAUUUCAAAGGAGAACAGGUUGAUAAGAGCUGUCAAGCUUGGCCAGGGCAAGCUGUGUGGGUACUGCUGGAUGAUGCUCUCCAGAGACAGAGUGUGGCAUUGGUCAGCCACCUUUCAGCAUCCUCAGUGCAGGGAAUUUCUGUUUAGUUUUGCUGUUUUCUUAAUCCCAAUGGACCAGGAGAUAUCUGGAUGACAACAGUUUCACAGGUUUCUAUGAAGGUCUUACAUCUGUUUUCCCAACACAUAAAAAAAGAUUUGCUCUUAUAUUUCUGCUCGGGGUUUCUGAUGCUCCCCUCUGCUGUCACUGCUUUUACAGAGCAAAAGUAGCCCAAGGAAUUUGGAAGAUGAUGGACACAGUGUGUACUGCAUGCUCCCACUGAGCUUAUGGACAGCCAGAAAAGCUGUAGAUGAAGUGGAAGAGUGAUGGUCUGCUGCCAAGAGCUGCAGCAUUGGAGAAUGUGUCUGUGGCAUUCAUGUGGUCAGAAAGUCAUACCAACUGUCUCCUCCCCAGACUCACAGAUUCUUCUCAGAAAGGGUCAUGUUUUCUGUUUUCCAGGCAUUUAAACACAUAGAAGGCAUUUUCUUGUUUCCUUGCUUUCCACAAUUCUGCAAGCAGAGUUUAUAUAUACAUACAUACAUAUAUAUAUAACCAUUUUUGAACUUACUGCGCUUUCCUUCUACCCCUUGAUCUUUAUUGUUUCAGUAGAUCCCUUUUCAUUCUGUUGUAUGCUGUAUAUUUUUUAGGUUUAGAAGCUGUACUUAAUUCUUAUUUCAGAAGAUGGCUCUUCUCAGAAUGAAAAGCAGAUUGCUAUGAAGGCAAUGAUUUGAUCCUUGUGGUUUGCUGUGAGCCUCGUAGCCUCUAGUGUAAACCUAUUGGAUCUUGUUUAACAGAGAAGCAGAGAAAGUACCACCCAUGCAAAUGCUGCUCAGAAACAUCUACCAGGGAGAAAAAAGCUUCUGUAAGUAAAAGUAUUGUAUGACCUCUCAUUAUUAAAACAGACACAGUGUAUUUGAGGGUAUAUUUAUACUGUGUUGAUUCUUAGAAGUUCCACUCAUUGACCAACAGCCACUCUUCUGGUUGUUGCAGUGUCAGGUGGGCACUGCCAUCCUGUUGUGCUCUCUUUAUGUGUGUUGCAAUCUUUAUUUUUUACUAAGGGAUUUACAAAAGCAGCUGACAUCCUGACAGAACCAGACAGUUCUAAAAUAUUACGGUUAAUAGAAAGUAACCAUAUUGUUCAUUGGGUCUGGAAAAAUAGAAAUUAGGAAAAUAAGGUCUUUCUAAUGAAUGUUUUGGAUUGUGUACAGUCCAUCAAGGUAUCUCCUAUUAGAUGAGAUGACCUCCAGUGAAGAUCUUAUCCCUUCACGAAUUUGGAAUAGUUAUGGUUGGACCGGAUAAGAAAAGAAUACCUUUCUAUCAGAGAGCCCAUAAUUGGUGGUACCCAAAAGUGGGCCAAAGGCUUUGGCAUAUAUCUGUGUUUUCUGCCCUCUUGAAAAAAUGCCCUAUUUUCUCAGGCUUGCUUUUACACUUGGUAAAAAUUCUCUUCUUUGACCUUAGGUUUACACAUCUCACAUUUUCCAGGUGCUUUCUCUGAUGAUAUUUUUAUUGGUGUAUUUGUGGUAAGUGUGUUCUUGAAUGUCCCACAGAGUCGGCCAGAUAUACAUUCUGUUACUGCUCUCAGUGCAGAUGAAAGCUUCAAAGAAAGGGUAAUUUUCAGUGCUGAAGGUAUUAUACUUAGAGCUGCAACAGCUGGGAGAUGCAUCUGAGGGGAGCACUUGCUCAUCCCACAGCAAACCUAUAGGUUUAAUCCUGAAUCCAUAUACACAGUUUUGAUAAGGAAGCUUAGGUAUUGGGUAGAGGAUAGGAAAUAAUAGUUGUUCCAGAAUGGUGUGGACAUAGGUCCUGUCCUGUGUAUUCCAAACCAGAAGUGUUUUUCCUGCACUGCCCAUCUCUGUCUGCAUGACUGAGUCUUAUUUGUUCUACUGGGAUCCCUCUUGUUCCUGUGCAGCUGUAGCUGUAAGAGCUGACAUUUGCUGAUGAGCCACUUCUAAUUCAAAAAUUAGAAGAUUAACAAUGAGAUAAUUCAGUUAUCACAUUUAUGUAUUUGUUUAUACUCUUCUCUCAUUCACUGUAAUUGUAUCAGUAUCUGCUGAAGGUUUCAGCAUCCCUACCCUCACUACUUUUCUGUCAAGGCAAUAUUUAUCUGCAGAGAAAGGUGUCAGUGAGAAAGCAGGAUUUCCUAUAUAUCUGAGGACAGACCUGUUUUGUGUGCUGCAUUUGAUGGUGGUCAGUCACGUGCCCAGAGACGGGUACAAAAGAGGUUAGCAAACAGUCGCUUUGCAGGCAUUUGUUGCUCAGGGGUUUUCUGAGGCAAUUAGCCUGCAGUAGUCAUUUGUUGCAUUUAUUUGUUGUUCCCAAUCAAGUAGGUUCUGGUAUAUGCCACAGUGUCUGGCGACACGUUUUUUUCUCUGUGCAACAUGUGAAGAACAACUUCUUGUUUGCUUUUUUUAACUUGCCACUCACUAAUUGCAUUGGAUGUAUUUUGGAUCAUGUUCCGACAAAGCCAAUAUCCUCUUUUUCUCCAUGCAACUUUUUGUUCAGUGGGACCGUGUCAACUUUUCCUCCAGCAUCUCUCUGCCUUCCCCACAUCUUAGUCACGCCAGGGACUUUGUACUGAUUUUUGAUGCUAUUUUUGGUGUGUGAUGUGAUAGUCCUAAUUUCUAGCUAAAGAGCAUCUACCAAUGAUUAUGUACAGUGUUCCUUAAAGUAACAAAAAAUCACUAGCGUGGCAUGUUCUGGUUUGCGUGUCUCCAUAUAUGAUGGAGAGCUUUGUUCAGAGUUCUGGCUGUAAAUUCAUACCAGUACCCUAAAUCCCCGCUAUCAGUGUCUUUGGGGUGAAACCCAGUCCUUGUGUCAGAAUAAUCCCUCCUCGCGCAAUCAUGUUGCCCUCUGUUGGUUAGCUUUGAUUCAGAAUGUUCCCAGGCUCGCUAAUUACCAGAGGGCUUAUUUAAAUUCCUGUGGAAGAGGCCUCAGUGUUUUACUCUGCAAUGCUCUGGUUCCUGUGCUGGCUGAGGGGUGCAUCCGUGCUUUCAGAGGAAAGGGUGGAAGCCUCUUUGUAGGUUGUGGUUGCAACCGUGUUCAUUUAUAAAGCUGGGUUUGAUUUCUCUUAACGAACGCACGUAUUAAGGUCUGGAAUUUGUCGGUGUCAAGGUCAGUUAUUGAGAAGUUUGCAUUGCCUUUUUUUGAAGAAUUGAUCUGAAAGCAGCUAGAAUCAGAACUUCUUUUCCUGUGGGUUCAAUGUUUAUGUGCACGUAGCUUCCCAGUGGAUUCACAGGGAUGCCUGGUAAAGCCAGAUGGCACAAAAAAAGCCUACAGAAAGAAAAGAAGGCAAAAAGAAUGCUAGUUGCAUAGGGAGACAUGAAAAACCUCUCCCUCUAAAUGCUGGAAAAUGGUUUUAUUAUAAACACAGAUACUCUGAUGAAUUGAAAGGUUGGUGAGGAAGGAAGAUGAGAAUUUUUGGGGGCAGCAGAACAUUUUUCUUGUUGACUGAUUAAUCUGGAACUGCUCUGAAUGCAAAUGGAUUUCUGGGAUCCUCCCGCUUUCUCAAAUACAUUCUGACUGCAUCUGACUGGUAAUGUGUUCAGGAUGAUUUUCUCAUAAGAUACAACUGAAGACCAAAGGUGAAGGAGGAAGACCGUGGCAGAGCUAGGACUAGCUUUCUUCUUUAGAGGGGUGAAUUGGAACGCUGGUCAGCAUGCUGCAGUGACUUGCAGACACGUUCAUCAAAGUCCUUGUACCUAAAUAGGCUAUGGAUGUGAGUAAUGCUUAUUUCUUCUCUGUUAUAAAAUGCUUGAGAUCUGUGGUUGGGAAACCAAGCAUGUAAGUGCAGUCUACUGUUAUUGAUAGGAAUGAGUUUCAGAUGGCACAGCUGAAAAUGUGUCCCCUACUUUUCCUGGGAUGCUCUAUGGAUCAGACUCUAAGCAAAAACCAAGAAACCUGCUUCAGUUGGCACAGAUACUUGAUAUAAUAUGAUGAUUGGUUAGAGAUACUACCUGAUGGUAGUAGGUAAUACAGCUAAAUAUUACUAAAUAAUAGUAAUAAUGUUAAUAAAUCCACUUACAUAAAAGAAAAUAAAUAAGAAAACCCUGAAAUAAUGAUAACAAAAUCUUAAUCUUUUUAUGCUUCCAGAAUGAAGACGAUGUGGUCUCUUGGCACAAGAAUUUAUGAAACAACCCAUAAAGACCCACGGUACAGCAAUCUAAGGAGCAAACUCAAGAUGUUUGAUUGAGCAAUGCGUGUGCAUUUAUUCACACCUGGAAAGAACAGCUUUCUGUGUCAUUACAUGCAGUGUGAGAAUUUCAUGUAUUGAUCUCUGUAUAUACAUCACCUGAGGUUCCUUUAUUCUCUUGGUAAAACUUGCCAGGUGUGAUGCUGUUUGGAGGUCCUUUCUGUACCAGAUGAGGCACUGAGUGUUGAAGCAAGCAUCCCUCCUGGCCUUGUUUCGGGCCUUGUCUAGAGAUACAGUACUGCUGCCUAAAGCUGUUAAGCUUAACCAAAGCCAUGGAUGUGACUGUUAUUUGGCAGAUAAAAGGAGUGAAAGGAAGGAGAGAAGAUAGCAGUGUGGUGUCUUUUUACUUUCUUUACAGUCUGCUUAAAUUUCUCAUCUGCUGUAAACCUCAGACUGAAAUUCUGCAGCGUGGGGAUGCACUGAAGUAGUGCUGGAUAAUAACUUAAUAAAAUAGAAGUAACGAAAGGGGAAUAAAAUAGCUCCCAAACAGUUAAGAGUGGGAUUCUGGUUUGUGUUGGAUCCUUGUCCUGAAAGCUUGGAGUGCUCAGAUCCACCUGAAGGAUCAAAAGUGUCCUCAAGCCCUUAAAUAGAUGACUCGGAAAUAGCUGAAAUGUGUUUCAUUUUAUGGUAAGUUUAAUGUUUCCAAUCUCAGUGCAAUUUACAAUUACAAUAAAUAUCACCAAAAAAUUAAUGUGGCCACUUCAAAUACAAAGGAACGACAGAGUGUAAUCUGAGAAAAUUUUAUCAACAUGCAAUUUCCUUAACAAAAACACCAAUGUAUCAUUUCAGCAUGCUGAGAAAUAUUUAUCUUUUGGGACAGCAAAAUCAUUUGCAGAACGUUUUAACUGCUAAAUAAAUAUUUUACUGGCAACUUCUGAGGCAUCAUAAAUGCAGUCAAUAUAAACAAAGCAAUGUGGAAUCCAGCUCCGGUCUCAGCUGCAAUGACUGUUGGCCACUUCGUGGUAACACAGGGCUCUGGGAUGCAUUUGGCACAGUCUCAGCAUUUCAAAUAUCUGAUUUGUUGGGUUUUUUGUUUUUUUCCCCUGCUAUAUAAGCAAGUUUGCUUAGUUUAUCUGAAGGCUCUGGCAAUGGAAGGCAUGGCGAGCUUUCAGUAUUAGGGAUGCAACUGUUUAGCAUUUAACAGAAACUCGUCUUUUCACAGUUAAAUCACAUUUUUUUUUAAUUGAAUCCUGUGCUUAUGAAAAAUACUGGAUCUGCAGCCUCAGACUGUCUGCUUGGCUGCAGAACAAGAACAUCAUGGCCAUGCUUGCUUGAACUUCCUCGUGGGCCCCUGCCAACGUGCUUCACCUCUGACCUGUAGCUGAGUUUUUAAAUGUCUUUUUUAUCUGUAGUCUCUUCCCAGACCGCCCCACUGAAAUGGCACUUCUAAGGAUGAUUUCAGCAAGUUUCAUCUGUGCACUGGAAGCAGAAACUUGUUGCAUGGAGGCAGCUGAAGAAUUACUUAUUCAUUACCAUGAGCGUCACUGCAGUCUUUACUGUCAAGGACUGCCGGUCACAUUUCCUCACAUCAACUCUGGGACAGAGCUAUGAUUUGUUGUAUUGCUAUUGGCCAUUUUAAGUGAUAGCUACCUGACUAAGCUAGGUAAUAAUUGCCUAUUUGUCACUAUAGGUGCUCACUUUGUGUUAUUUGUGUCUAAUAUACAAUGGCAUUAUGCUCCUAUUGAAUAUUUAUUGAAAAGCACAUCAAAUAUUUGAAGGCCUAUAAAUGUGUUCAUCUUCUGAAUUUAUCAAAGGAUCUCUGUUGACAGUCAUUGGUUUCAGUGCUGUAGUGGUUUCUUGCCUGCUCUAAUGUGGUGUUCUACCUGUUUGUCAGACACUGCUGUUAAGCAAGUAACUGGUGAUAGCUGGAUAUCCUUCCAAGCUUAGGAAGAAGUUAUUGGCUGAAGCUGUUCUCCUUAUUAAUUUGACUCCUCAGAUUUAUGUGUCUGCAAAUGAUUUUCUUCUUAUCUCUGGCAGCUCCAGAAGAUAAUCCAGAAAUUAACUUUUCUUUGUAAAGAACUUCAUAGGAUGUUUUAGGAAAACGUGAAUAAGUAAAUGCUUAGUAGGUAGUUUGAGAUACCCUCAGCUCCUCUGGAUGCAAAGCAUUUACCACUGUGAUCUGACUUCUGUCAGUUCUCCAGGAGUGUUACUAUCUCUGCACAUUCAUCUCCUACUUCUAAAGAGAUCUUUUAGCACACAAAGCAGGAAAUGUAAGAAAACAGACAGGAUUUCCAAAGACAAGUUAGUCAUUUCACUGCAGAGUCUGGCCUUUGUUCCACGUCCAUAACAAGGCAGUGGUCUUUAAAACACGGUUGAAAAUUAGAGGAGAUGGCAUAAACGUUUGGUAAUUGCAGAAAGCCAGGGUAGUUCCUGCGUGGGCUGUUAGUGAGUGGCUGAAAACUGCUGCAGAAUGCAGUCUGUUGCUUGCUUAAUGCACCAUGAGCGUUCUCUGCAUAAGUAUCUUAAUUCACACAUCUAAAGGAACUCAGCCUGGGUUUAGCUGGGUACUUGUUAGCAACUUCUUCAGAAAUAAAGGGGUGGAAACUGUACCAUCAUCUGUGGCUGGAAGGUGAAGAUUUACUUAAAGCACUUUGGCUGAGGGGCAUCGAGAAAUGAGCACUGCUGCUGCCUGCAGGAGAGGACUCCAGCACUGCAGGGACACAGAACCUCAGGGAAGUCAUGCUGAGGAAAUGAUUCAUUUAACCUGCAGCUAUAUCGUUUGUAGAAGGUAAAGGCAAUAGGUGUGAAGAAAUGUUUGCUCAGAUCUGUGCUUUAUAUAGGUUCCAUCCUGGAUAACGUAUAUGAUAAUAUACUGAUAUGAGUAUAUCUCCUCUACAGCAUGCCAUGUUCUGACGUACUUGGGUGGCAUUUAGUGUACAGAUUACUCCUCCAUUCACAGACACGGACUUUCCCUAGGUUAUCCACGUGUUCUGUAUUACGUUUCAGGGCUCACAGUUCAAUCUUUUCAUAAAUAAAACUGUAGCCCUUUCUGGUAGCGAGAGAGGAAGCGAGGAAGAUUCCCUGCCCUUGAGGACCGAGCGUGGCUCUCAGUCCCCAGAAGGCUGGGAUUUUGAGCUGGCUAUUACCAAGUGUAAAAUGAAACACCUGUGUGCAGCAGCAUGCCAAGGCUGAGCCACCUGCAGCACACCUGCUAACUGCCUCACUGCAGUCGGGUCUGGGCAACGUGACAUCAUCUGAUUUCAUAUCUGUAAUUGAACAAAAGGUACGGGUUAUAGCUGAGCUCUUAUCCAAAAAAGAAGAGUUAACGCUGUAAAUACGCGUCUCUGUAAACAGAGAAACUUCUUUCCUGUUCUCAUUGAAUGGCAUGCUGUGAAACCAGAGUUGGCUGGAAACUUCUAGAAGCAGCUUGCUGGGGGCUGGGUUCGGCUGUGCCUCUGAAUGCCUCCGAGCAGGAAGCAGCUGGGUAACACUCCAGGUGAUUGCGCCCAUUGACUCCAUUUUCUCUCUCUAUUUGGAGUGUAGCAGUGGGUGAUACAUUUGCCUGCUGUCUGAGCUUAGUUCUCAAAGCUGGGAGCGGAGUUCACUUUGCCUCUGGAGCAGGACGUAACCCGGUCUCACACGAGGCACUGAAUGUCUACCACAGACUCGUGAGGUUUAGGUUUUUUAGCAGUGUAUCUGGAGGAUAGAAAUCUUCCAGUUUUUUAGCAGCUUUGAGGAGUAAGCAGUUCCCCCCCAGCGUGAUUAAAAACAUCAGAAGAAUGCUGCAUCAUAAAGCGAAGGAUGGAGGUACGUUUAUUUCACUUAUAAUGCAUCUUUCAGACGUGACUGGGAAAUACAUUCUCGUCUUCAGAAUUGGGUAUAAAAGCAGAGGCAGAAGUUUACUCAGUCCAAAAAUCCCUUUAAAUAGCCUACGUUGCUAAGGUUUUUUGGUAGUAACUGCAAUUUAAUCCUUGCUUAAAAGGGCUUUUUUUUUUCUUUGAUUAAUUGAACACACAGGAAGAAGCCGACAAUGCUGUUCCUCCCAAAAAGAAACAGCUAUUUUUAGGGGUUUGCUUAAAUUUUAGGUUGCUUUGUUCCUGUUAAAUCUCAGCCUUGACUUUGGCAAAAAAUCCUGUGUUAAAAGCACGCUCUGAAGUCCGGGGUCUCCAGCAGGGCUCGGAAUGAUGCACGUGCUUCAGGGCUUGGCUGAAUCCAUUUUAAGGAUGUGUUUUACAGACUUGAGGCUAGCAGUGCUUGGUAGACGAUGACCAAGAUUCUUGCCUUUACAGGGCGUAGGGUGGGGUUUAGAGCCAGCUCUGCCUUAAUAAUAAAGGGUUGGGUAAUAUUAGGCUUAACUGGUAAUGCUAGGUAUUACCCAAUUAAUAUUGGAUUUAAUGAAAACUACUGAAUAGGGCAUUCUAAUAAUUGUACCUAACUGAAUGCUCUUCUUGUUGUUUCAGAUAAUUUAGGGGUUAAUGCUUAUUGUGAGCACAUUAUUGUAAGGGUUUUUUAAAGAAAUGUUUUUUUUUUCUUGUCUUAACAUCUUGAGUUUCAACUGUUCUUUUCCUUUCAUGCUAUCAUUAUCCAGCAGGACUAGAAAUAGGUGCAGACAAUGAGAUGUACAUGUGCACACAGGUUAGCUGCUAUAUUGUUAUGUAGCCUUCUGACUGCGGCUUCUGAGAAUCAAGCUGACGGAGCUCCACAUAUUUUCCCCUUGAAACAGACUGUUUGUAAAGCUGCAGAGAAUGGUGAAUAAUUUGCACCAAUUAAAAAUGACAGUUCUGCCUGUUCCCUUAAUCCAGGGAGCACUGUUGUGCUGAUCUUCUGAUACUUCCAGGCUUUGGGUUGUUUUUGUUUUUUUUUUUUUGCCCUUUUCCUUUCUUUUAUUAUGCAUAGGUUGAUACCUGUUAACUGCGUCUCCCUGCAAAAUAAUAAUAAUAAAUACAUAUAUAUAUACACAUUCCUGUUGGUUUUUGCGGAGUAGAGUCCUUAGAUUUUCUUUCUUUCUUUUUUUAGUUUUGCUGUUGUUGUACUCUCCAGUAUUGGCUGGUCAACCACAACACCAAUAAGUGGUGCAGAACUCUGCUUCUGUGGGUAUGAUGCCAAAAGCAGCCAACUUGGUGCCUUACAUAGGGAUUAGUUAAGCUUGUUAGAGAUGUUUGUGCAAAUGGGACUUUUGGGUCUUGUAGAGACUUACCAAAAUGGUGGCCUAAUUAUGAACUGUUUCCAUUUUCAAGAUCACGUUUUCUGAAAUGAAGUGAAGGAAUAGCGGAGCUGAAGAUGAAAGAUAUGGAGAUGUGCAAACUGAUGUGUUGGUUAUUUAUAGGGAGAUCUUUAGUGUUUGCGAACUGGAACAAAAAAGGCGUAGCAUUUGCAUGUACCCUUUGUUGCAAGCACAUUGUUUAUGCAGAAGAAAAUGGUCUGUGUUUGUCUUUGUUAAGGUUGAUGUUGCUAUUAAGAUUUCAAGAGUGACCACUGAAAAAAAAGAGAAUUUAGAAAGUAAGAGGAACAUAUGGGACACCUGUCUUUGGAAGUAUUGGCUCAUAGGCAGGCCUGCUCUUUGGCCAUGGCAACAAGCAACUUGACAGAAGUUUGAUUUCUUUCCAAAAUCCCUCUUUGCUGCAAUGAAAUAUUGCUGUUUUCUUAUUUUUCAACCUCUGUUUUACGGAAACAAGACCUACACGAGCGCAUUGUCUAUCAGCCUUUCUAAUUCAUGCCAGUUCCAGCACCUUUUGAGAAGCCAUUAACCACUGUGGCUGUGUGAGCAUGUAGUGAACUUGCUGGUAAGCUCUGUUCCCAUUGAAACCGGGGCAAAGUAGAAUUGCAGAAGAAUACAGAACAGAAAGCCACAGGAAACCAAACUUCAUUAGGUUAUUGACCAACUGGAGGGUCUGCUUUUUUUUACUUUUCUUUUGUGUGUGAGGAUGGUAGAAUUAAGAAGGAAGAGAAUUUGUUUUCCCAUCUGUUUCCUCUAGCUCCAAAUUUCUCUCUUUGUUUCUAGUCAGAAAAUACCAAAUUCAUUAAAAUAACUCUGUGUAUGUGGGACUGAAUUUCUGAACUGUGUGACUUGGUACAUGUUGCCCAAUUGUCUUUUCUAUUAGUUAUGAAACCAAACACACCAAAAAACAACAGCAAACAAAAAAGAAAAACACACACACAAAAAAAACCUGAAACCCCCCAAAGUCCCAAACCAAUCAUCAUAAUGCUCAAGGUAAAAGAUAACCGACAGGUAGCAUAGAUAACAGGUAGUAUUGUGACCGUUCUUGGAGAUGAGAACUUUCUACUUCAUUUUGAUAUUACAGAUUGUAACAUGAAGAAGUAUGAUUAAUCAAAUUGGGAAAACUUUCAAAAGUUGCACAGGAUGAAAGGAAGCAGCAGCUUGAUUUCUAUUCUAAAAUACAUCCAUUAUAUUUCCAUGCUCUGUUUAGCUGUUGACUUUCAGGCUUCAGAUAAAACCUGCAGUUUUACCUAACAGUUUUACCCAGCAGCUGAUUGUUAAGUGGCAGAGAUCGAACAUAUAGUUCCCAUUGCUUGCAGAAGCCAGUAGGAUUGGUAAAUGACACGUUUUGCUGCACCAAUUCAACAUUUGUAUGUAAAAAAUAAUGUCACCUGCACUGGCACUACGUUACUGGAAGUGCUAAGGCAGGAGGGGAUCAACGACUGAGUUGGUUUGUGCAAGUAUGAGUUUAAAUCACCUUGUGUGUCAGGUUGGUUAACACGUCGUGUUUUCUGGCUGAUAUAUUCCAAGCCUUACACUUCAAACAUUGUAUUUAUCAACCCUUUAUUAAAUAUACAAAACAAGACCGCUCUCGCCAAAGUCUGUCACAACCCAUUUUGUUGUCGCUGUGCAUUUUGGUAUAUGUGGAGGAAUGAGAGCCCAAGCCGCAAAGUCAGCUUGUUUUAGCCUCAAUGGCUUUUUAAAAACCCUGCAGCUUAAAAUAAUACAUUAUUAAGGCAUUCAGACUUGUCAAAAUUAAUAAUUAAUAUCCCAUUUAUGUUCCCCACGCAUACACAGAGUCUUUCAUUCAGUUCAGUUGCUGCACCAAGGCAGUGCUAUCUGUACUGCAGCCAAGUGGCUGCACAUUGCAGCCUUUUCACAUGGCACAAGUGCAUCUGGGAGCUUGGGUUGUCAGCUCAGGGCUCCUGUCUUCUGAAUCCCUAACGUACAGAUGUGUUUCCUUACAGAAGGUUAUAUAACAUCAGUCUUCAGUUGCUGCUUUGUAAGUUAUCUCAGUUUGUAUGUGAUCCGAUAGCCUAAUAUUAAUAUUAUUAAUGACAGUUUUAAGAGUUUUAUAAACAGUGUUUGAUCCUGGGGGAACUUGCUUCUUGUGAUAAGGGGGUCAUUUAACAGGUGGUUAUGGAUGUUAUUCAGACUUAUUGUAAGACUAUAGGACUAUUCUAAUAACAUACUUACGAAGCAUCAAAUUGUGUCUUCUGUUAGAAGACCACAGAGACCACGUCUUGCAGAACUAUUUCAGUUUCUGAAGUCAGUGCUCAGUGUGUACAGAGCCCAGAAAUUGCACUGGGAAUGACAGAAACCUCAGCAAGAAUAAGGUAAACAGUUCAGACUAAGGAUUGCCAAAGACAGCAGAAGAAUGGGCCUGGGCUCUGCGUCUGAGUUACCAUGUAGGCAGCACUUAAAAACCAACCAACCAACAAAAUCCACCAAAAAAACCAGCAAGAAAUAAAACCCAAACAAACAAACAAAAACCUGUACAAAAUCCCAACCAAUCAACUGGAAAACCCUCAAAAAUAAUAAUAAUAAAAAAAGAGGAGUUAAGUUUUUGUAUCAGCAUAGUAAUUAAGCAGAACGGGUAGGAUUAACAGUUGAUGGGAUAUUCUCAAUACCUUUAUUUUUAUUUUCAAGAAUAUGCAUUACUAAUUUAUCCAUCAUUUAAAACUGUAGAUGCAUUUGAGUAGUUUUCAAAUAAAUAGAACCUAUUAUUUGGCUUUUUGCAAUGUUCUUCUCCCUUGAGAUGCCAUGAACAUUUCCAUGUGUUUGACUUUUUUUUGGGUUUGUUUUUCCUGGGAGUUAAAAUAUAUACAUAUAUAUGGGGAACAAUGCAAAGAG